UACGUUAGGGGUGCGAGCGUUGUCCGGAAUUAUUGGGCGUAAAGAGCUCGUAGGCGGUUUUGUUGCGUCGGCUGUGAAAAUCCCGAGGCUCAACCUUCGGGUCUGCAGUUCGAUACGAGCAAACUAGAGUGUUGCAGGGGGAGACUGGAAUUCCUGGUGUAGCGGUGAAAAUGCGCAGAUAUCAGGAAGAACACCCCGUGGCUAAGGCGGCUCUCUAGUACGGUACUGACGCUGAGACGCCGAAAGCGUGGGGGAGCGAACAGG
rnacentral:rRNA from 1 species